CGACCUCCGACCCUGACGUUAGACACGCUAUUCUAAGUUAGUAAACGCGUCGUAGCAGUUGGAAGAAAAAAAAAAAAACAGCGAUCCGUCCUGCACAACUAUGCCGACUGACUCGAAUUGCGGUGCCGGAGGCGAGAGCGUGAAACAGCAGCAGGGUCCACGUGGAAAUUUGCCUGAUAUUCGGCUCAACAUUCAAAGACCGAUUCUAGCAGACCAGACUAAUGUGCUGACAAGCGGUAGUUUUGUACCUAUCGAGGCCAAUGUCAUUCAGCGAACCCCGGACCAAAUCGACUGUCCAAGAAGAAUUUGAAAAGAUCGGCGGGGGUAGUGGUGGCUAUACCCUGUUCACCACUGGCCAUAGAACAGCUACAAAUUCCUUAUAAAAAGGCUCGCAAGGAUGCCACACAUAAUGGUUUAACUCCGGAGAAUAUUACCCAGGUUAUACAGACAGUCAUAAAUCCGCAAAUUGCGCCACAUGGAGCGGCAUGGACUGAUCCCAAACACCGUGUGAUCGGGGACGUGGAGGUGUAUGCGCCUGAGUCGCCUACAGAGACCGUCACUGUGCAACCGGAUGGGACUAUACAACACGCAGCCCAUGGAGAUCCCCAGUGUGCGCCACCACCAGAGCUGACUGCCGACGAUUGGGCUGGUCUUGACGACAUCUCGUCCUGGACUUCAUCGUUGUUGGAACAUAUCGACUUCACUCCUGCGCAGUGGAUCGACUCUCCAGCUACAUCCGUAGAGGCUACCACCAGUGCAGAGCCUGUACAACACCAUCAGCCUGCAGAUCCUGCAUCUGGACCCCUACAAGCCAUUCAAGACCCUAUCAGCGACCCC
ensembl:lncRNA